rnacentral:lncRNA from 1 species
AUAUGCGUAUGGUUCCUGUGCUUUCAGUAGUACGAGCCCAUAUUACCUUCCACACCUACCCAUAUUUAUAUCAAGUAUCACCACAACACCCUAGCGAUAAACAUAUACAUGGCAACACUCAAUCCUCACCUCUAGAGGAACUACUAACUACCUCACAUAAUAGGGAACCCUAGGCUAGCAGGCAUCAUAUAAUCAGGCAANCUAGCAGGAUCAUAUAAUCAGGCAAUUCUAUCAUGCAAUUCCUGAAGAUCCCUAGCCUAGUACUAGCAUACUGUUCUAACAUAUCACAUAAUCA